rnacentral:ribozyme from 13 species
AAAACAAAAAAAAAAAAAAAAAAAAAAAAAAAAAAGCAGCUCCCAAGAUCCAAAUAAAUUUAUGUGAAACUCUACUCUCCCUCCUUCUUCCCUUCCUCUUCUUCUUCCUCAUCAUCAACCCGUAUCACAAUCCCAGCCUCGGGAUGGCGAGAAGAAGAAGAUGAUGAUGAUGAGAAGAGAAGAGGAUUGUAAAAGAAG